CAUUUAGAUAUACCUAAAUCGACACUGUCAUGCAUAACAACGUAUCGUUGUUACUGGUAACGUGUGAAGUCUUUUCUUAAAGUAUUUAUGAACUGUAUACUCAUCUCUGGAUGAUGUCAAAUCCGACUAAGAAGUGAUGUCAGGUUCGUCACGUUGUUUGUGACAUUAUUCACCGACUUAGCCUUCCCAAAACGCAUCCCAUUGAAAAUCCGAGAAUGGUUUUGAGAAUGCAAUCUGGGAUAUAUAUAUAUAUAUUAAAUCUGCAAUCUAAUUUGGAAUACCCAGAGUUAUGUGCUUUUCAGAAGUGCACAUUGAAUGUUCUUAGCCUACUAAAAGAAUGGGAAAUGUUUGACUGGAGUUUCCCGGAGUAUCAGCAAAGAUUUUCGUUCAUUGCUAGUGGAUUGAAAGGGAGGUCUUUCUGUCAUUGUGCUCAAAAUUAUGGUAUUUUGGCUGACCAAGAAAUAGUCCAUAUGAUUUGCACUGGUGAUAGUGCUAAAAUGAUAUUUCUUAUAAUGAUGGUGGUGUGCACUUCCAUUUUAACUUGGCAGUAUGCCUCAAGAUGUUUGUGCUGCUGACUACAUCAAAAUGGAUUUUUUGGGAGAUCCAAUUACAACACUGCUAGAAGAAUAUGAUAUACAUGCUAGAGAUGCCCACUACUUCCAUUAAGACAAACAGUUGUAGUUUAGAAACUAGAGCUGUAAACUUAGCUCAUCGCCGAGUCAUAAAAAGCCGAAAAUGUUUGUUGACCACUGCCUUUAAUAUGGCAGCCGUUGCAUGGAAUUAGUCAGCUCAAUUAUUUCCUUUCUGUUUGAAGAUCCGUGCAAGCGCCUGAAUUUAAAGUUACAUAUGGACUGACAAAGACAAAAAAAUAAACAGCGCCCGACCCGACAUGUUAAACUGGCUCGCAACCACCUCUACGUUUACAUCAGUGGCGAAACUUGCUCCAACAAAGCGACGUACGCGCCUCCUCGUAUUGCUAGACGUUUGAGGACGUUUUUCACUACCGGUUGAUCAAUUACAGUACGUGAACCUCCAGGACAACGACAGAAAAAUCGUGAACUAUGAAUCGGAUACUGCCGAGGAAUCGUGUUGAAACCGGCAAAAUCAUUUCUGCCAUCGGUGCUGUUGCGGGGAGGAGAAAGGAAUUUUCCGACCAUGGCGUCCAAAAUGCGGUUCAAUCAGUGCCUCAACGAUGUGACUGUUUGGAAAACAACCAUCACAUACCUGCUGCCUUUCAAUUCUUUCGCCUUUCAACUAAACCAGAAAAAUACUAGUUUUCGUCAUCCUGUCACAUCUCAAAUUCUAUGGUUUAUAAUUCCUGUUCUAUGACCCAGUUCUUUUACAGACAGUGGCUUCUCAUUUCAUCUUCAUUCCAGUAAUCAGAUUUGAUGUUUCGAAUUGUUUUAGGUUGUUAAAGCAAGUUUGACUUUCUACGAUGCUUCCACCAACGUGCAUGGUCGCCAAACUUUGUUGUUGUGUCGGACUGUUAAUCUGGGAGAAAAACGUCGAAUUAUUUGGCGAUAUGUUUGUCAAAGUUACAGAUAGAACGGCUAACGAUUUAAAUCUCACUUGGGAUAAUCUAUUUCUCGGACAAGGUACUUUGAGACCGGAUUUAAUUGUCCGCUUCGCAUAGGGCUUUUCGCGCUGAUCAUUAAAAAAAAGACUCAUCAUAACGAUUCCGAAAUGGUUCGUCAGUUGCGCCCUCACGGUCGUGUAGUAGAACCUUUUAAAGACUUCCAUAAAGAUGAAGUAAGAUCCUUAGGUCUCGAGCUGGGUCUGCUUGCAGAAUUACUGGAACGUCAUCCGUUUCCUGGUCCUGGUUUGUCCAUUUGAAUCAUUUGCGCCGAAGAACCGUUCAUGGAAGCUGAUUUCGGUGAGACGCAAGUGCUGAUUCGUUUGAUGGUCGAUUAUGCCAACAUGGCAACCAAGGAAAAUGCCUUGCUCAAUCGGAUUGAAAUCGCGACGUCGGAAGAAGAGCGUCUUCUUCUGGAAGAACUGUCCAGUCACAACCAGUAUGUUGCCACGCUACUGCCUAUUCAACCUGUCGGUGUUCAGGGAGAUUGCCAAAACUUAUAGCUAUUGCGUAGUACUGAAUUCUGAUAAGACAAUCAAACUGGAAUUAUCUAGCUACCUAGGCCUGCUUAGUACCACGUGUGUGCCAUAAUGUCAACCGUGUUUGCUACAUAUUCGGAAAGGGUGUGCGUGAAUCGGUGACAGACGUUCCACCUACCUACUUAAUGAGUAACAUUUUGGCGACUUUGAGGGAAGCGGAUUAUUUGGCAAAUAAAAUAUUACGGGAUUCGGAAUAAGAAGAAAGUAAAAGAAGCUAGCCCAGAUGCCAAUCGUCUUGAUCCCUCUUCCCUUUGAUCACGAUUCGAGUCAACGCAUUCCAUCAUACCAGCGAUGAGUCAUUUUUCGGAACUCCUGCAAUUCCUGAUACUCAUCUGCCCCAAGAGUUACGUAAAAAGUGGUACAUUUUAAAAACUGAUCUUGGUGUAAACAUUGAUACUGCUUAUUAGGUUGAAGACAAGAUGUUUGAAGCCGUCUUAACUGUUCCAGGAAUUUCCAGGGUCUUGUAUGACCUGACGGCAAAACCACCCGGGACAACGGAGUGGGGAUGAUUUUCGAUUUAAGUACUGUCAUAUUUCGGUUGCAGGUUUUCACUGAAUACGAAGUAAGUAAUGUGUUUAAUCGUGUUAAAUGUAUGAUUUUUCGAUUCAACUCUAUUUAGGUGUUAGAACUGAAAUUGUAAUUUUAGAUCUUUUAAAACACCGCCUAGCUUUUAUUAACAAUGGUUUACUUUCAAAAUCACUCAAAACUACUUCAAAACUAUCAAAAUCUUGUUAACCAUUUAAAGGAGAACAAAGCUCAUUUUGUAGAUUUCAUAAAUUUCAACUUCUGGUUUUACUUCCAGUUUUAAAAUGCCAAAUAACUCCUUAUUUAUUGGUCUCUCAGAAAAAAAAAUUACAUUUUUGUGAUCCUCGUCAAAUUUGGGGUCGACUCCGUGUAUCAGAUCAAAAUAUCCGAAAAUCAUCAAAAAUCGCAAAUUUUCCUGAACUAUUCAUUAAAUUUUAUAAUAUAUUUUUUGUUCUUGAAAAUUAUUUCUACUACGUCAAGCCAGAAAAUAUGCUAAGACGUACUUCAUGCAAUUUCAUUCACGUUAAGUUCAUGAAAAAUCGCGAUUUUGGUCAAAUCCGACUUUUGGCUAAAAAUACGUCAUUAAGUCUUAACCCAAAUUUGAUAAGGAUCAAGAAAAUUCUACUCGUUUUGUUAUGGGAUUACUAUUUCCGGAGAUAUUGGUUACUUCCGGCUACUUCCGGAAAAUUUUCCUGACAAGCUGUAAAAAGUAAAAAAUGAGCUGUAUUAUUCUAAAAAUUUCAAAUACUUUUUUUGCAUGCGUUAGGGUGUGCAGCUCUUAUUCUGUGGUUUUUUCACUAUCAACAGUACAGGCUGACCCUUCGAGCAACUACAGUUUUAAUCUACAAAUGUUUUAGCGCCUCGUCUUGCAACCAGUAGUUGGUAUUCUAGGUUUUUAAGUUUAAAAUUUGAAUUAUUGGAAGUUUAAUCAAUCAAUUAUUAUUAUUUGGAAUUAGUAAAAUUCAAGUACUUAAAAGCAAGAAUUGUACUGAUUUCAAAGUAAAAUCUAUUUUCUUUGGGUUUCAGGAGGAAAACUAGAUGGCGUUGAUGUGCGUUUUGAUAAGUAUUACGAGUGGCAAGUUAAAUCGGUGUUAGUUAAGUUUCUACCCUGUUUAGUGUUUCAAAGGAUUUUUAUUCAAAUAUUAACAGUGUUGUUCAGUAUUGUUAUCGUUGGGUAUGUAUUGAAAAUAAAAUUCUUAAAAUAUA